GAUGAACGCUGGCGGCGUGCCUAAUACAUGCAAGUCGAGCGAAGCGGGGACGGGUGAGUAACACGUGGAUGACUUCCUAUAAGACUGGGGUAACUUCGGGAAACCGGAGCUAAACCGGAUACUUAGAGAUGGAUCCGCGCUGCAUUAGCUAGUUGGUAAGGUAACGUCUUACCAAGGCAACGAUGCAUAGACGACCUGAGAGGGUGAUCGGGCACACUGGAACUGAGACACGGCCCAGACUCCUACGUGAGGCAGCAGUAGGGAAUCUUCCGCAAUGGGCGAAAGCCUGACGGAGCAACGCCGCGUGAGUGAUGAAGGUCUUCGGAUCUUAAAGCUCUUUUAUUAGGGAAGCGGUACCUACUCAGAAAGCCCCGGCUAACUACGUGCCAGCAGCCGCGGUAAUAC
rnacentral:rRNA from 1 species